rnacentral:lncRNA from 10 species
AUUUGGCCAGCUCGGCCAGCUCAGGCAGCCUGGCUUCUACCCUGAACCGCCCCACCCAAGCCCCUGCACCUGCAGUCUCUGCCGCCUCUGGAGCAGGGGCUGGGCCACCAGCAGGAUGGUGUUCAGCUGUCCCAAAGCUGCCCGCCGCCGGAGGUACCGCUUCCUGGAGGCCGGGAAAGAGCGGGGGCGAAAUGAAGAGUCCAAACUUAUGCUUCCUCCCUGGAUGCUUCACAGAAACGACAGGAAAAGAAUAGGAUACUUCAAAAGAAAAGCAAGGGUCGGGUGCGGUGGCUGAUGCCUGUAAUCCCAGCACUUUGGGAGGCCAAGGCGGGUGGAUCACUUGAGGUCAGGAGUUCAAGACCAGCCUGGCCAACAUGGUGAAACCCCGUCUACUAAAAAUACAAAAAUUACAGCACACCUGUAAUCCCAGCUCCUCAGGAGGCUGAGGCACCAGAAUCACUUGAACCUGGGAGGUGGAGAUUCAAGUGAGCCGAGAUCGCGCCAUUGCACUCCAGCCUGGGUGACAGACCAAGACUCCAUCAGGAAGGGAGGGAGGGAGGGAGGGAGGGAGGAAGGAAGGAAGGGAAGGAAGGAAAGAAAGAGAGAGAGGAGGAGGGAGGAGGGAGAGAGGGAGGAAGGGAGGAAGGAGAACGAGUAAAUUGAGAGACUGUUUAGCCUGAGGGAUUAAGAUCUGACUCUCUGACCCUGGGCCUAGAAUACCUGGGUUCAGAUCAGUUCCCCAUAUGCACACUGACCAAAAAAAAAAAAAAAAAAAAAAAAAUCAUUUCCCUUAGCUUGGUACGGUAGCUCAUGCCUGUAAUCCCAGCACUCUAAGAGGCUGAGGAAGGAGAAUUGCUUGAGACCAGGAGUUCAAGACCAGCCUGGGCAACAUAGCAAGACCUCAUCUCUACAAAAAAGAUUUUUUAAAUUAGCCAGGCAUGACGGCGUGUCCUUGUAGUCCUAGCUACUUGGGAGGCUGAGGUAGGAGCUAUGACUGGGUCACUGCUCUUUAGCCUGGGUGACAAAGUCAGACCCUAUCUUGCAAAAAAAAAAAAAAGAGCAGCAGAACUUAUUAAAAAGUAACACCACUGGUCGGGUGCAAUGGCUCAUACCCGUAUGACACCUGUAAUCCCUGUACCUUGGGAGGCUCAAGUGGGAGGAUCACUAGAGACCAGGAGCUUGAGACCAGCCUGGCCAACACGGUGAAUCCCCGUCUCUACUAAAAAUACAAAAAAGGCCAGGCGUGGUGGCUCACGCCUAUAAUCCCAGCACUUUGGGAGACCGAGGCGGGCAGAUCACGAGGUCAGGAGUUCAAGACCAGCCUGGCCAACAUAGUGAAACUCUGUCUCUACUAAAAAUACAAAAAUUAGCUGAGCAUGGUGGCAGGUGCCUGUAGUCCCAGCUACUUCAUAGGCUGAGGCAGGAGAAUCGCUUGAACCCAGGAGGCGGAGGUUGUAUUGAGCUGAGACCAAGCCAUUGCACUCCAGCCUGGGCAACAGAGCGAGACUCCAUCUCAAAAGAAAAACAACAACAACAACAAAAUUAGCCGGGCUUGGUGGCCUAUGCCCGUAAUCCCAGCUACUCCAGAGGCUGAGGCACGAAAUCACUUGAAACCAGUAGCUGGAGGUUGCAGUGAGCUGAGAUCAUGCUGCUGCUGGAGUGCAAUGGCGCGAUCUCGGCUCACUUGAAUCUCCGCCUCCCAGGUUCAAGUGAUUCUCGUGCCUCAGCCUCCUGAGGAGCUGGGAUUACAGGUGUGACCCAGCUGCACUCCAACUUGGAUGAUAUAGCAAGACUCUGUCUCAAAAAAAUUUUUUUAAUAAAAAAUAAUAAUUAUAAAAAAUAAAGGCCGGGUGCAGUGGCUCAUGCCUGUAAUCCCAGUACUUUGGGAGGCUGAUCACCUGAGGUGGAUCACCUGAGGUCAGGAGUUCGAGACCAGCCUGGCCAACAUAGUAAAACCCCAUCUCCACUAAAAACACAAAAAUUAACUGGGCAUGGUGGCAGGUGCCUGUAAUCCCAGCUACUCGGGAGGCUGAGGCAGGAGAAUGGCUUGAAUCCAGGGGGCAGAGGUUGCAGUGAGCUGAGAUGGCGCCACUGCACUCCAGCCUGGGUGACAGAGCGAGAUUCUGUCUCAAAAAUUAAUUAAUUAAUUAAAAACUAAAAACGGGCAGAGGAGAAACAGACAUUUCUCCAAAGGAGUGGCACUAAUGUCUGAGAUGCUCAACGUCAUUAGUCCUAGAGAAAUGCACAUCAAAGCCAUAAUGAGAUGCCACUUCACACCCACUAGCAGGGCUAUGAUUUUAAAAAUGGAAAAGAAUAAGUACUGGCAAGGAUGUAGAGAAACUGGAACCCUUGUACAUUGCUGGUAGAAACAUAAAAUGAUGCAGCCACUAUGGAAAGCAAUUUGGCAGCUCCUCAGAAAGUUAAACAUAGAAUUACCAUAUGAUAGAAUUACCAGCACUUUCACUCCUUGGCCUAUACCCCAAAGAUUUGUAAACAGACUAGAACAGGCCGGGUGCAGUGGCUCACGCCUGUAAUCCCAGCACUUUGAGAGGCUGAGGCGGGUGGAUCGACUCAGAAGACAGGAGUUCAAGACCAGCCUGGCCAACAUGGUGAAACCCCGUCUCUACUGAAAAUAUGAAAAAUUAGCCGGGCGUGGUGGCGGGUGGUGGGUGCCUGUAAUCCCAGUUACUCAGGAGACUGAGGCAGGAGAAUUGCUUGAACCUGGCAGGCAGAGGUUGCAGUGAGCCGAGAUCGAGCCACUGCAUUCCAGCCUGGGCAACAGAGCAAGA